UACUGAGCUUAUGUUCUCCACCCACUACUUAGUAAGAACUCCUUAACAACUUAAAGCUUUAUCCCUGUGAGUACCAGAAAAGUGAUCUGAGUAUUUAUUGAGCAGGGAGAACAAACUGCUUGCUCCAGGCAGGGAGAAAGCUUAUGGAAAUGAUAUUAGACCUUCAGCAAAGUGCACAGCUGCAUCAUACAGAAGCUGAGACUCAAACUGACAGGCAAAUAAGCCAGAUCACGGAAGGGGCCUCUGUGUGGCAGCUCUGAGCUACCAAGUGUUGGACAACUAGGCAAAAAGUGCAAUGGAACAGGGCAGAAAAUAACACACUAACUUCAGGCAACUGUUGCUUAUUCAUGGACUGGAAAGAAGCAUUUUCCACAGAUGUCAGCUUCUGUCUGCUGUCAUGCUCCACUCUGAGUGAUGCCACAUUCAGCACUGAGUAGUACUGGCAAAGGAGAGCAGCUUCUCAGAAUGAGGUGUGCAGCUGCCAUUCCAGGUGUGCAGCUGCCAUUCCAGCUGUGCAGCUGCCAUUCCACAUUGCAGUAGGGCUGUGUUUGCUGCUCCACAAGCUGCAGAGCAAGAGAAGCCAACUUCAGGGGCAUGCAUACUGUGAUACCCUCAGUGGUUUCUUUUACAAUGUGUUCUGCUCCAGCCAGGGAAUUUUAUUUAACUGACCAGUGAAAGAAAAAUUAAAAUGAAAAAGGAAAAUGAAGAUGUUAAUGAUACCAGAUUUCAACGAAGCUGAACAGCUUCCCGAAGAGCUCUGAGUUUUCUAUGCCAGAUUCUGCUCCAGUGGCUAGGACCUUUAUGGCUGCUGUUUCUUUUGCUCUGGGAUCUGAUGGAGGAAAAUAAAAAAGCCACGAUGGAUCCUGUCCCUAAAGUAGAAAUUUUCUUUUUCAUUCUGCAAACAAGGCUAAAGAUCGGAGGAGAACGAAUUCAAAAGUAAUUCAGGAUUGUGGUCGUGCCAUUAAAAGUGUUCGGCUUCAGAACAAAAUUAUUUGGGGAAUCCGAGCAAUUCUUCUUACUGUAUCGACAGUAUUUGAAAGUUAUGUGUGUUUUGAGUAAUCUGGUUCAAGUGACAAGAAUCUCUGCAUGUCAAUGUUUUCUGCAGCUUAUGGAGUGAAGGCUAGUUUUGCCAUUGGAAAGGAAGAAGCUUUUUCUAGCAGUCUGUAGAAGGAUUAAAUCUUGAACGUGGGGAAGAGGCAAAAAGUGAAUACACGCCCAAAGGUUAUCCUUGCAUCGUGAAUGGGUUUAAAGUACCCUGUAACCCAGGGCCCACCUGAACAGUAGGACUGAAAGUAUACCGGAGAAAUAUUUCAAUUAGAACCCCCUUAACAAGCAUUUAAUCCUUCUUUCAGGCAUUAAGGAAAUAGAAUAAAAUUGUUACUGUACAAAUCUGCUGGAAGCAGAUUUUAACCCAUUUGUAGAUGCUUCCCUCUGAUGCAUUAUAGUAACAUAGCUACUUGUGAGACAAGGCAGUGAAGAUUUUUAUCCUGUGUUCUUUGUUUUUUUUCUUUUCAAAAGUUAAGGACCAUACUCUCAGAAAAGUCUGUUUGGUCAGCUGAUACAUUGUUCGAAUGUAUGUAUGUGUCUUGCCUUCUUAUUUGAUCUUUUCUGCCCCCUACUUGAAACUGUGGUUUGUUUAUCUGGGGGGAAGGAGGUGGUGUUGAUUUGGUGGGGAGACGGGACAUUGGUUUUAGGGUUUCUUUUGGGUUUGGGUUUUUUUUUUUUUCUAUUUAACAAUAGCAGUGAAAGUUUUGGUGACAGCGAUUAUGACUACUAAACAAUUCAGUUUAUUGGAAGACGAAUUCUUCUGGAUCAUAUCGGACUUUUCCUAGUCCCUGAGACCCUAACUUGUGAGGUUUUUUAGCAACAAUCACAAGUCAGGCUCUUGGGACCUAGGCGGAGGGGAACCAGCAGCUUUGGACUGUGUUUGUUUCUCUGCAGAAUUUAGAGAACCAAAGGAGCUUUCCUUGCCUGGAAGGGUAAAAAGGAAAAUAUACCUAUUUUAAAUGUUAAGCAUCAGAACUGUUCCUAAAAAAAAAAAAGGAAGAAAAAGAAAAAAGAAAAAAAUCCAAACAACUGUUACUCAUUGUACAGCAUUAGGAUGUUACAUUUUUAUGUGUUUAGAAAACUGGACUAGAUGACAUGUAACAUUUAGAAUUAUAAUUUAACCUGGAUGUUAGUUUGCAUGAAAAAACUCUCCCCAAACAAUAAAAACAACAAAACUUCCACUCAAAACAGAUACUAAAAUAUAUUAAAGAUUCCCAAUCAUAAUAUUAAUACUAUUAUCAUUAUGAUUGUGGACAAUUUUGAUAAAUAAUUACGAAAAAGAAUAUAUUCAUCCUUACUGUUCAAGCAUUAAUUGACUUUAAAAAUGUAAAACAUAAACACUGAUGUUUGAGGCCUAGAAAACAUUCAUUCUAUUGUUUGAAUAAUGAUUUCAGUCUACAGGGAAACUGUUGCUUAGCUUUUCCUGUAACAUGGAACAAAGAGUAUUUUGUACUUAGUUGCCAUCCUUUUUCUUUGUCCAAGUGAGAACACAAUAUGUCAUUUAAGAUAUUCUCUCAUUUAAUUUACAUUUUAAUCUGAAAGAGAAUAACGGUUUAAAAAUCAUACUACAGCACUAACAUCCCUUUGCACUCAGAAACAUAUUUCUUGUACCUGUCCAAUUUAAAGUGAACCCACAAUACUCUAAACACUGGACUCAACUUGUAACUUCUCCAUCACUUCUUAUAUUUUUUAUCCCUCUGAAAAUAACCAGUGUGAGCUGUAGCUUGUCCCUCAUGUGUUAAGUUCUUCUCUGACUUUGCAUAAGGAGAUUCACAAGCACAUGAGUUAUUCUUUACUGCUUAUUCGUCUCAAACAUCUGAUCUAAAACACACCAUCUGAUUUGUAUUUCUUAAUAUUUUAUAGGUGAGUUAGUUCUGAGUCAUUUUUCUCUGUUUCCUGUGUCUAACCAAGAUGCUGAAGGACUCUGUUGAUUCAUCAGACUUCACUGAAACAAAGGCUUCACACAGAUCAGGCAUCUAAACUAUUUGUUCAUUUCAAAAGUGGUAUUUUGGCUGCAGUAUAUUUUUUCCACUUGUGUGGGAGGAAAUGUGUUUUAUUGUAAGCAUCAACACUAUUGUUAAAAUAAAUUGUUCUUAUCUGUUAGUAUAAUACUUUUUCUUCUUGUCUUGUUUUCUUAAGAGACAGAAACUAUGCUCAGUACAUAGUUUUCAAGUUGCUCAAGAUAUAAUUAGUCUUUAAAUAGUCAUAAAAAUAUUGCCUUAGCAAUUACAGUGAUGAUACAGUUCCUGUAAAUAUGUAAUUCUUUUCUUCAUAAACUGUCAAUCCCACAUGCUAAGAACACCCAAAAGAGCUACUUGCAAAAAUUCAGAUAUUAAGGUAGCCUAUUUAACACAUAUGUGAUAUUCAACAUUGACCUCUGUUUAGGAAAUAUUGGAAAAGUAAAUGUGAAUGUAUAUAGGAAAGACAAAUGCACUCAGGUAGGUGCUACACUUUGUUAGGAAUUUACACAUAUUCUGUAGCAGUUUUCAAUACUGAAAAUGGGUUAUUUAAGAUACUGAUCAGGUGAAUACAUAUUCUGUUCAUUCGAGCUGUAUAAUGAGAUAGAUAAAACUAUCCUGUGUGUUGCUGUAUAUGUGUCAAUAUAUAAUUUAAAUUACAUGUAGUGUUUAUCGAAAUAAAAGCCCUUAUAGAUUUAAUCAGCUGUAAGAUGUACCCAUCUACGCAUUUUAAAGAUUGUCAUUGCAUUUAUUUUUCGAUCAGCAAAAUUUUCUUGAAUGAAGAUAGUUCACAUUCAGCACUCUGAACUAAUUUUGCAUUUAACACUGUAUGUACAAUGAAGGUGAAACUGUGGUGUGAAACAUUUUGUCUCUGUCAGUCUGAAGAUUUCAACUAUGCUCUGCCCUGCAUUGAGAGUGAGAAGAAAAUGAAUCAUUUUACACCCCUGCCUGGUGUAUUUGGUGCUCCAGCAAAAGUCGUGAAUACGCAGUCCUGCCUCUGCAUUACUGCUUGAACUGGGAUGACUCCAGUGGCUCCGCUCUGCCCAUCAUACUCACUGCUGCCCCUUGCCAUAGUGAUGGGAAAGUUGGUGCACUGCCUGCCUCUUUGCCUGCUCCCUCUUCUUCCCCAGUCUCAGCACAGCCAGCCCAACCUCUGGUACACAGGUAGGGCAGAGGUGGAUGGAGGGGAGGAAGAAGCAGUGUCUUCAGUCAGGCAGAAUUUCCACCAAGAUCAACAACGUGUUUCUGUGUCCUGGAGCAGCGUGACAACGCCUACAGAGAACAUGCAGGAAGCAGUCCUAUUUACCCAGUGACAGAAUAUGAAAGCUGUCUCUAUUAUCACAAAUAAAUAGAAAGCAUAAUCUUCACUAUAUUAUGCUUAGAUAUAUGUGCAGGAUUCUGAUACAUUUCUAUAUAUAGGAAUCAUAUAUUUCUAUACAACUUGAUGUUGUUUCAAUGCAAAAAGCAUUUAAAUGCUCUUUAAUAAGUGAUUUCAGAGUAAUCAGCUUGUGCUACAACAAAAACAAAAAAACAAAAACACAAGCUCUUGCAAAGGGGGAGGAAGAGAGAGAGAGUGAAAAAGAUGUGUGUUGCAUACAAAAAAGGACUGAUAUUAACAAUUCGAUGGGUUCCUAGUUGGUGGAGCAGACUGAGCCAGACGCAUAUAUUAGCGGCUGUCUGCUGCUGAUGGGAGCCUGCUCAAUGCGGUGGAAAUGAAGGAUCACCUAGGCUCUGACACCAGCUUAUUUGUACGUUUUAAUUUUAAAAAGGAAAAUCACUGUUUUACAUAAACAUCUUAACCCCCACGUGAUUUUUUUUCUUUUUUUUCUCCCUCAUAUUGUUUGCUAAUUUACUGUCAACUUAAAGUGCUGUUUAGCUAUAGCCCAACAAAACAUCAGUCAAAAAAAUAGAGGGAAGUAUUAGCUUCUCUUUUGUCUGCCAUGUACAACUGAGUUAUUAUUAUGAUAAUUGUCUAAUUUAAUUUUUAGUCUUCCUGGGAGAUGCAACAAUUUUCUGGAGCUUCAUUUUUGAGGCAUUUUAAGUUUCAGCAAUAUACCAUUUCAUAUUUCACCCAAACAAUGCAAAAAAAAAAAAAAAAGAAAAAAAGCUCAUAGCUCAAGCUGGGGUGAUUUGAUCAAUUCUUUUCAUUAACCUGAAAGUCUUUAGCACCUUUGUAUAGUAUUGCAUAUAUGGGACAGGAUUUCUUUUCCAACCAUAUAAACUCUAAGAUCCAUUAAUACAGUGCUGAAGACUGCUACACGAGUCAAGGGAAUUCCAAUCCAAGUUAAUUACUGUUGGAAUUAGAGGGAAGAAUAUUUUACUUGAAGUUGUAUAACAAGAAUCUACAAUUAUCACAUUUCAGGGCAUUGCUCUAUUCACUUGAUGAAAAAUG